rnacentral:lncRNA from 1 species
UGGAGGUGAAGAAGGCGGCAUUUGCUAAGUUGGCAAGGAGCACAAGCGAGGAAGAACGGAGAGCUAACAGGGAGAUCUACAAGGUGGUGACGCAAGUUGGCAGGGAGCACAAGCGAGGAAGAAAGGAGAGUGAAUAGGGAGAUCUACAAGGUCGAGGAAGGAAGCGAAGCUGGCGGUUACGGAAGCUAAAAACGCAGUGUUUGGUCGCAUGUACGAGGAAUUAGGGGAGAAAGGCGGGGACAAGAAGUUAUUCCGGUUAGCUAAAGUAAGGGAAAGGAAAGUGCAGGAUCUAGACCAAGUUCGGUGCAUCAAGGACAAGGAUGGUAGAGUUCUGAUGGGGGAGUCUCAAGUCAAGCAGAGAUGGCAGGCGUACUUUCGAGACCUACUUAACGAGGAGGGGGAUCGAAACAUAGAGCUAGGGGAGCUGGGGCAUUCAGA